rnacentral:rRNA from 1 species
GGCGAACGCUGGCGGCGUGCCUAAUACAUGCAAGUAGAACGCACAGUUUAUACCGUAGCUUGCUACACCAUAGACUGUGAGUUGCGAACGGGUGAGUAACGCGUAGGUAACCUGCCUGGUAGCGGGGGAUAACUAUUGGAAACGAUAGCUAAUACCGCAUAAUAUUAAUUAUUGCAUGAUAAUUAAUUGAAAGGUGCAAUUGCACCACUACCAGAUGGACCUGCGUUGUAUUAGCUAGUAGGUGAGGUAACGGCUCACCUAGGCGACGAUACAUAGCCGACCUGGGAGGGUGAUCGGCCACACUGGGACUGAGACACGGCCCAGACUCCUACGGGAGGCAGCAGUAGGGAAUCUUCGGCAAUGGACGAAAGUCUGACCGAGCAACGCCGCGUGAGUGAAGAAGGUUUUCGGAUCGUAAAGCUCUGUUGUAAGAGAAGAACGGGUGUGAGAGUGGAAAGUUCACACUGUGACGGUAUCUUACCAGAAAGGGACGGCUAACUACGUG